UGGAGCCCCGGGUAUGGGCCCGGCGUUAGCCAGGAAUGAGUGAGUGCUACAACCCGGUUCUCAGAGAGGGCCAAGCUGCUCAAGUUUAGAGGAUUCAUCACCGUGCAACUCAGCCGACGCACACAAUUCGGUGUUCCUUGGCGGUGGGCGCAGGAGUGCCCCGCAUCCAUGGCUUUGCCUUCCUGUGGUGGUUUCGGUCGCCUGUGUCAAUGGUGGUUCGGCCUGGAGGCAGAUGACCUUCCUUUCCACCUAGUGUCAGGUCAACGGUAGCCAGAUGCUGCAUCACAGUGCCUGUCAUUCACCUCACUUCUCACAUCUCACAGCAUCACAAGAAGGGGGCUUCUGCGUCUCAGAUCCUCCCCCAUACUCCAAUGCAGUGUCCAUCUUCAAUUUCAGCAGCCAUA